CGGAGUGAGAGCGUACACAGGUGCUGCAUGGCUGUCGUCAGCUCGUGUCGUGAGAUGUUGGUUAAGUCCCGCAACGAGCGCAACCCUGCAUUCAGUUGCCAUCGGUAAGGCCGGGCACUCUGGAUGGACUGCCGGCGACAAGCCGGAGGAAGGUGGGGACGACGUCAAGUCAUCAUGGCCCUUAUGUCCAGGGCGACACACGUGCUACAAUGGCCGGCACAACGGGAAGCGAAGGGGCGACCCUGAGCGGAUCCCACAAAAGCCGGUCCCAGUUCGGAUUGCAGUCUGCAACUCGACUGCAUGAAGUUGGAAUCGCUAGUAAUCGUGGAUCAGCCAAGCCGCGGUGAAUACGUUCCCGGGCCUU
rnacentral:rRNA from 1 species